UACGAAGGGGGCUAGCGUUGCUCGGAAUUACUGGGCGUAAAGCGCACGUAGGCGGCUUUCUAAGUCGGGGGUGAAAUCCUGGAGCUCAACUCCAGAACUGCCUUUGAUACUGCGAAUCUCGAGUCCGGAAGAGGUGAGUGGAAUUCCUAGUGUAGAGGUGAAAUUCGUAGAUAUUAGGAAGAACACCAGUGGCGAAGGCGGCUCACUGGUCCGGUACUGACGCUGAGGUGCGAAAGCGUGGGGAGCAAACAGG
rnacentral:rRNA from 1 species